UUUUUUUUAAGAAAAAAUUUCCUUCUUUGAUUCUCCUUCCUCCCUAAUUGUUUAUCCAAACAGAGUGUAAAAGAAAAGAUAGUGCAAUUUGCAACAGAGCAUAUCUUCUUCUAGAAAAUGUGUAGAGGGCUUGAUGAAUAUAGCCAGACGUUCCAGCUUGGCAUUUUCUUUACUUCAUCUUGGUUUCAGGAACAGAACCAGCCAUUAACUUCUGUUUAUGUCCUCAGAGUUGAAAGUCAUAGAAUAAUACUGAGAGUGGCAGUAUCUUAUUCACAACACCUGUUUAAUUAAGCGACUGAAAAAUUUUUCAAAACCCAUCUCUCCAUCUAAAGUUCUCUAAUAUGUAAUGCUUCCAAUAGCGUACAACAUAACAUACACUGAUCCAUCCUGACUUGAGUUUUUGAAGUGUGAAAAGCCUGUGUUAGACAAUUUCAUGUCCAUGGUGCAUUUCAGGCUCCUUUUUGUCUACUUUCUUCUCUAGCAACUAAUGAUGUCUGAUGAUCAAAGGCGCAGUGCUCCAUUAUGGUUGCACUAAAAAUUUCUAAAUUCCCCAUGAAUUUAUUAGAAAACUCCAAAAAAUGUGGCAACAGCAAAAAGAAGGAAAAGCACUCCACCCGAGUAGCCAACCAGUUUUUCUGAAAUAUAAUUGGCAAGAAAAGCUCCUCCUAGAAUUGCAAUAGAUGUUGCAACCAGGUGUCCAGCAAUAGCUCCAGUUGCCACGCCCCAUGGAGACUGAGCAGCACCAAGAGCAAUUGUCGCAAGCAUUGAGCGAUCUCCCCAUUCAGCAAAGAAUACAAGGCUGAAUGACUUCCAGACAAUCUCGAAUGGAUUUGUGAGCCUUCUUGAGACCUUUUCUUUCACAAGUUCCUCAGCUUCAGCAUAUUCAUCAAGUUUGGGACUGCUCUUGUCACCACUUUUAACUUCACUCGAUGGAAGAUCCCAAGCAUCUUUUAUUGAUUUGAGCCCAAAGAGCAUUAGAAGAGUUACAGCUGCAUAUCCUCCGAUUGGAAGGGUUGUUUGGAACUGAGCAGGCACUGAAUGAAAUAUCCGUCCAAUUACAACUGACAAGAUUGUCAUAAGUGAAAGAGCACCCAUUGAUCCCAGAAGAACCAGUCCUUUCUCAUAUUGCAUGGCCAAUAGUGCAGCAAUAAAAAAUGUCUUGUCCCCAAUUUCAGAAACAAAUAUUAACGUGAAUGCAGCUGUUAAUCCUGACUUUGCAAUUGCUGCUAAGAUUGAUGAAGGACCACCUUUCACAAAGGCAAUCAACAAAACGACCAAAGCGCAUCCAAAUAGCACAAUAGCUACAGAUAGAGGAUAAGGGAUUUUGCUGGGAGGUUUCACAAUUUCCGAUGAUUUGUCACUUGAUGGACCAUUAGCAGAACAUUUUUUGUUGUCUUGCUCCUCCCCACCUUCAUAGCCCCCAGAUCCAAUACUAACGUUAGAUGCUUGUGGUCUAAGUGUACCAAAAGCAGAAUUCAACCUUGAGAUCUCUCUAUAUCUUAGAGAAGAAGAAAUGGGUUUUCUAGAAAUGCUAGCGAAACUUGGCAAUGAGUCCACCAAAGCCAAUAAGGGUGGCUUCCCCCUCGAAAUGAAUGGUGUUCUCUGAAG
rnacentral:misc_RNA from 1 species